rnacentral:rRNA from 1 species
GACGAACCGUGCGAACGUUGUUCGGAAUCACUGGGCUUAAAGGGCGCGUAGGCGGCUCGCGGGGUCGGGGGUGAAAUCCCACAGCUCAACUGUGGAAGUGCCUUCGAUACCGGCGGGCUCGAGGAAGGUAGGGGUGCGCGGAACUUCUGGUGGAGCGGUGAAAUGCGUUGAUAUCAGAAGGAACGCCGGCGGCGAAAGCGACGCACUGGACCUUUACUGACGCUGAGGCGCGAAAGCCAGGGGAGCAAACGGG